rnacentral:rRNA from 1 species
UACGGAGGAUCCGAGCGUUAUCUGGAUUUAUUGGGUUUAAAGGGUGCGUAGGCGGUUUGAUAAGUUAGAGGUGAAAUGUCGGGGCUCAACCCCGAAACUGCCUCUAAUACUGUUGGACUAGAGAAUAGUUGCGGUAGGCGGAAUGUAUGGUGUAGCGGUGAAAUGCUUAGAGAUCAUACAGAACACCGAUUGCGAAGGCAGCUUACCAAACUAUAUCUGACGUUGAGGCACGAAAGCGUGGGUAGCAAACAGG